rnacentral:lncRNA from 1 species
AAUUUCUAGUUCUAUUAUUAUUUCUCUUAGGACAUACAUUGGCUAGAUGGUCUAUGCUACCACACGUAUAACAUUCUAAUUUAUUUUUAUAAUUUCUGUCAUUUCUAUACUUUCUAACAUGCCUGUCUCUAUUCAACCAAGGUUUUUUAGCCUUUGACUUUCUUAAGAAGUAUUGUUUUCUACUAUAUGGUUUUUUAUUAUUUCUUUUCUUAUAUUUUUUAUGUUGCUUCUGAUCGUAAUUCUGGGUUGUGUAUAUAACAGAUUUACAGAAAUUCAUUUCAUUUCUUUUUAAUUGUUUUUGGAUUUGUAUGUUUGUACAUUUUUCUGUUAAUAU